GAAGACUUUUAAGUUUGAUGUUGUGUUUGGCCCUCAAGUUGAACAAGAUAUCUUUGAGGACACUGUACCAUUUGCAACAUGUAUGCAUUUUAAAACUCUCAUUUUUGUUUUCAAUUUCACUUAAGUUUUGUUAUGUGGCUACAAAAUUCGAUUUUGAGUGAAUUUAAUUUGUAAAGUUGUUCUUACUUGAAAGUUGAAAGUAGACCAAAUUCCAAGUGUUGCAGCAUAAGCUGACAGGCGGCUAAGCAUGCACAUGCAUCAGUUGUGCAGUCACCACUAGAUGACGAUGCUUUAACACGAUGGCAGAGGGAUGUAGGCCAUGAUGAUGCAGGGCAGCAGGAUGCAGGCCAUCAAAAAGACUCACCUAAUGUUGCUGACUCCAAGUAUUCAUAUGGUGUGAUCAGCUUGAAGUAGUUGAAAGAAGUUUUGGUGCUUGCUAUGAAGCCUUAAGCAAUUUUCAAGUUGGAGAUAUGCAUUAGUUUUAUUGGAAUUUUGUCACUUUUGCCAAAGCACAGAUUGUGGUGGCUUUGCUGGUGUUGAGAAAAUGUGAGGAAUGGGAGAUGCUAUAGUUUUUUUUUUUGCAUCAUGCUGGUGUAUUGACCAGUUUCUUGAUUUGGUUUUUAAGUUUAUUUACUCUUUCGAAUGUAUCGAUUAUACAAUGUACUUCUCUAUCCUAUUAUCAAUGAUUAUAUGAAUGAUUUUUAAUGUCAUCA